rnacentral:misc_RNA from 1 species
GAAAUUUGUUACUAUUACUGGAAUUUUUAUUCAAUUUUUUUUUAUACAUAUGGAAACGCAUGUCCUUGCAUUUCUUAGGCAAGUUACAAUAUUACAUUUAGCUUCUUCUUCCUAGAUUUUAUAUAGUCUGUUACAACAUGUAAAGCAACUUAAGUUAAUAAGGACUAUUAUAUAUGUAGUUAAUAGAAAUCUUUAGACGAAUAAUGAUGAUCAGAAGGAACAUCAGGGUCAGGCUUCUCAACACCAUCAACAUUCCUCAGCCAGUAAGUCUGAUUAUUAAGAGAAGCUGCACUUUCUGGUACAUUGUCCAACACUCGUUCGUGGCCCUUCAGCACAUAUAUUCCGGUGCGAGGAUGGGGUACCCAAUCAGAUCCGUUCUCCUUCUUUGCUUCCAUGAUCGAGUUUCCCGAUUCUUCUAAAUGAUGAUGAUGAUGAUAAUGAUAAUAGUGGUGGUGAUGAAGUAACAAGCACCGGUCAUUCUCCCAUUCAGAUUAGAAGUUGUCAGACCCGAGUAGAAGUAGAGAAAAUAACAGAGGAAGUCGCUGGUUCUGAUGGCCAAAGCAAAAGGCAGAAAUUGCUUGAUGGUGGGUACAAAAGAAAAUCACUAGUGGACGCUGCUAGUUUGACAAAAGUUGCCGGAGUUCAUGGGUUUGAUGAUAAUGAUGAUGAAUCAAGCUAUGCUAUUGGACAAAACCAAGAAGAAGAAAGGCUUGCCUUCUGGGGCAGCAAGCAAUUGAAAAAGGAUAAGGUUCGUGCAACAUUAAAAAUUCUGGAGAGCAUAAUCCCUGGUGCAAAGGACAAGGACCCACUGGUGGUCCUUGAUGUAGCUAUUGAUUACUUGAAAUCUUUGAAGUUUGAAGCCAAAAGUCUUGGAGCGAACUACUGUUAAGUUUCGUUCCCUCCAACUUUCAUAGUGUUAUGUUGGCUAGUGGGUGCAAAGAAGAAAGAAGAAAAGUAGCAACCCUAGAGUUCUUGGCUUGAAUGAUUGAUGAGUUAGAAAUAAUAGCUUUUCUGAUGUGGGGUACUCUUUAGACUUUUUCCCUCAGGAGCUGUGUAUAAUCUGCCAAUAAAAGGAGAGUAGUGGGAAGAUAUAGUACUUUGCUUGCAGGGUGAAGAAAAAAAUAGAGUUUUAUAAGUUGAUCAGAAAUGAUUAAAGAUUAUCAAAAGUAAAGAUUUGAACGUAUGGAGUGACGCAAGUGCUGAAUUGUGCUAUAAAUGAGAGGAUUUUAUUUCUUAAGUGUUGAGAAGCCCUAUGGAUGUGCAUGCGCGUUAGGUAAUUCGGGUCCCACUCUCCAUUCAUUUUCUUUGAUUUAAUGCAUUUGUCUUCCUCUCUUUGCCCUCACACAAAUCAUAUUGAGCUCUAUUAAAAUACCGAAAAAAGUUUCAAAUGAAGCGUGAUGUCUCGCCAUGAAUUGUUGGGGUCCACACUUCUGAUCACAUAGUUGCUUGUGUGUCUUCACUCGUGAGUGUGGGUGGUGGCUAUGUAACUUGUGCAGUAUAUCAUGUGAUCAUGGUCAUUCAGUGAAGCCCUUGGUUCCCAAGAUGGGAUUUGUCAGCUUUGUAUGCUCAUUAUUUGUUGUGAGUGUGAAUUUGGUGUUCGGCAGUAGAGUGUGGAGUAUUGAGUUGAAUGUAUUUUAUCUUGGCUGUUUUUUCUUCUGUUCUUCCUGUUGUCCUAUGUAGGACGAUUUUGUCUGUAUUGAAAAAGAGAACAUGACUUGUUAUGAUUUUAUUAAUGUAGAGAUGUUUUCUUGUGACUCUCAUGAGUAAUUGUGGGAGCUAGAGGAUCCUGAGCUGAUUUUUGUAGAUGGUGCCUUUGUCUUUGUAUACCUUGUACUGGGACUAUAAUGGCAGGCUCCUUGUGAUUCUGAAAUGUGUGAAAAUGUGUGUUUUGAAACAAUGUUAAAAGGCUAAAGUUUGUUUACCAUUUUCUAGCAAAGAAUGCCUAGUACAUUUUUGUCUGGUUUCUCAAUAUAAUAAACCAUAUACUGCAUAAAGCUUGAUUUUUUUUUCCCUGAAAAAUAAUGGAUUUCCUCGCAUUGGAUGAUGAGUAAUUAGUAGUACUAGAAUGAUGGAGAGAGAGAGAGAGAGA